AGAGUUUGAUCCUGGCUCAGAACGAACGCUGGCGGCAGGCCUAAUACAUGCAAGUCGAACGGGCGUAGCAAUACGUCAGUGGCGGACGGGUGAGUAACACGUGGGAACAUGCCCUUCGGUACGGAACAACUCAGGGAAACUUGAGCUAAUACCGUAUACGCCGGCAACGGGAAAGAUUUAUCGCCGAAGGAUUGGCCCGC
rnacentral:rRNA from 1 species